GAUGAAGAACGUAGCGAAAUGCGAUAAGCAAUGUGAAUUGCAGAAUUCAGUGAAUCAUCGAAUCUUUGAACGCACAUUGCGCCCGCUAGUAUUCUGGCGGGCAUGCCUGUCCGAGCGUCAUUUCAACCCUCAAGCCCCCGGGCUUGGUGUUGGGGAUCGGCGAGCCUCCGCGCCCGCCGUCCCCUAAAUCUAGUGGCGGUCUCGCUGUAGCUUCCUCUGCGUAGUAGCACACCUCGCACUGGGAAACAGCGCGGCCACGCCGUUAAACCCCCAACUUCUGAACGUUUGACCUCGGAUCAGGUAGGAAUACCCGCUGAACUUAAGCAUAUCAAUAAGCGGAGGA
rnacentral:misc_RNA from 1 species